rnacentral:rRNA from 1 species
UACAGAGGGUGCGAGCGUUGUCCGGAAUCACUGGGCGUAAAGGGCGCGUAGGUGGCUUGGUAAGCGUGUGGUGAAAGCCUGGGGCUCAACCCCAGGUCUGCCGUGCGAACUGCCAAGCUUGAGCAUAGUAGAGGCAGGUGGAAUUUCGGGUGUAGCGGUGGAAUGCGUAGAUAUCCGAAAGAACACCGGUGGCGAAGGCGGCCUGCUGGGCUAUUGCUGACACUGAGGCGCGACAGCGUGGGGAGCAAACAGG